rnacentral:rRNA from 1 species
GAUGAACGCUGGCGGCGUGCCUAAUACAUGCAAGUCGAGCGAACAGACGAGGAGCUUGCUCCUCUGACGUUAGCGGCGGACGGGUGAGUAACACGUGGAUAACCUACCUAUAAGACUGGGAUAACUUCGGGAAACCGGAGCUAAUACCGGAUAAUAUAUUGAACCGCAUGGUUCAAUAGUGAAAGACGGUUUUGCUGUCACUUAUAGAUGGAUCCGCGCCGCAUUAGCUAGUUGGUAAGGUGACGGCUUACCAAGGCAACGAUGCGUAGCCGACCUGAGAGGGUGAUCGGCCACACUGGAACUGAGACACGGUCCAGACUCCUACGGGAGGCAGCAGUAGGGAAUCUUCCGCAAUGGGCGAAAGCCUGACGGAGCAACGCCGCGUGAGUGAUGAAGGUCUUCGGAUCGUAAAACUCUGUUAUUAGGGAAGAACAAAUGUGUAAGUAACUAUGCACGUCUUGACGGUACCUAAUCAGAAAGCCACGGCUAACUACGUGC